rfam:Algibacter sp. SK-16 scaffold87_cov59_read183, whole genome shotgun sequence.
GAGGCGGAAACCGAAAAGCCUUUUAAUAGAGUAGGUA